CAUGGCCCAGCAACAGACAUUCUUAAAUCAGGUGCUGAGAACCGAUUACCGCCCGGCUACUGUGUUCCUUGAGGGGUUCGGAAACAUCGAAGUCGGGAAUUUGUGGCAGCAUCCAGAUGUUCUUCAGCAGGCUUUUGAUCUGAAUAUGAGGAUGACGGCGUAUUGGAAGAUUGUAUUGAGGAGAAUGGUGGACAGCACGGCGCUGUACUUGCAGUACGGUGUGCAGAAUCUGGUGAACAAGGAGAUUGAGAAGGAGACGAUUGGCGAGCUGAUGAGUCCAGCUGGGGGUGGAAUCGAG
rnacentral:misc_RNA from 1 species